rnacentral:rRNA from 1 species
UACGUAGGGGGCGAGCGUUAUCCGGAUUUACUGGGUGUAAAGGGAGCGUAGACGGUAAUGUAAGUCUGGAGUGAAAGGCGGGGGCCCAACCCCCGGACUGCUCUGGAAACUAUGUUACUAGAGUGCAGGAGAGGUAAGCGGAAUUCCUAGUGUAGCGGUGAAAUGCGUAGAUAUUAGGAGGAACACCAGUGGCGAAGGCGGCUUACUGGACUGUAACUGACGUUGAGGCUCGAAAGCGUGGGGAGCAAACAGG